GGCGGGCGCACCGGGCUCAUUUGCAUGGGCGCCGGUGAGCCGGGCGUCGCGGGAGGGCGCGACUUUCCCCUGGAGGCGGCGCGGGCGGCCCGAGAGCGCGCCCGCCUGCACGUGUACCUCCCCCAACUCCGCGGGGGAACGUACCCGCUCACCCCAAGCGGACCCGGGCGGGUCGUGGGCCGCUCGAGGGCGGAUCUCAAAUUCUGCGACGGGUGAAUCCUGUGGGGCUGGCUCCGCCCUUAGAGUCGCGACCGCGAGUCCCGGGGCCACCGGCACAACUCUGCCCUCCCUGCUUGUGGGACAGGGCACAGGAUCACGCCGGAUCCCGGGCCAGAACUCCCUGAGGCCCGAAUCAUGGGGGCUCCCAGUAACUUUGGAGUGAAUGACUGCUGAAGACCCCUGACUCGUGUGAGUAGAGCUCCUAAGAGAUGAACUCAUAAACCAGAGUUGGGAGCAUCCACUUUAUGCAUCCAGUCCCACCCAGAGGACACGAUUUCCAACAAGCUCAGAUGCCAGAGUUCCCAUGUGAUCUUUGCAGAUCAUCCCGUCCCAGACUAAAUUUACAAUGUGCUUAUGGAGCCAGAAGAAUGUUACUGCAGAAACAACUGAAGGAAAAUUAGGUAUGUGGAGUUUUAUUCGAGAAUGCAAUGUAUAACUUACUCAGAAUAAUCUGGAAGUUGCCCUUCACCUCUUGAGCCUACUAAGUGAAUUCAAUCUCAAAUACUACAAUGAGUUCAAUUCCAAAUUCAAUUUGAAGAUUUUACAAUGCAGUUGUGCAAAAAUCCUCC